rnacentral:lncRNA from 1 species
CAAAAAUGUCAAGAACAAUGAAGAACACUCAUGAAAAACUCAAAAAUUUCCAUGAACAUUUUUCACCCAAAAAACAUCCCAAAACCACUCAAACUUUAGGGAAAUAACAUAUAACCAAACUAGGGUACAUAAGUGUUCCAAAAAACACUUUAAAACACUUUUAACAAGUCAAACAAGAACCCAAAAAUCCACCCUUUGGAUUUGGCCGAAUUUUCCCAAAAG